UUGGAGGGCAAGUCUGGUGCCAGCAGCCGCGGUAAUUCCAGCUCCAAUAGCGUAUAUUAAAGUUGUUGCAGUUAAAAAGCUCGUAGUUGAAUUUCGGGGUCAGUAGGUCGGUCAUGCCACUGGUAUGCACUGGUCUCACUGAUUCCUCCUUCCUGAUGAACCGUAAUGCCAUAAAUUUGGUGUUGCGGGGAGACUGGACUGUUACUUUGAAAAAAUUAGAGUGUUUAAAGCAGGCUAACGCUUGAAUACAUUAGCAUGGAAUAACGGAAUAGGACGUUCGAUCUUAUUUUGUUGGUUUCUAAGAUUGACGUAAUGAUUAAUAGGGAUAGUUGGGGGCAUUAGUAUUCAAUUGUCAGAGGUGAAAUUCUUGGAUUUAUUGAAGACUAACUACUGCGAAAGCAUUUGCCAAGGAUGUUUUCAUUAAUCAAGAACGAAAGUUAGGGGAUCGAAGACGAUCAGAUACCGUCGUAGUCUUAACCAUAAACUAUGCCGACUAGGGAUCGGAUGAUGUUAAUUUUUUAAUGACUCAUUCGGCGCCUUACGGGAAAC
rnacentral:rRNA from 1 species